AUGAUCACGUCAGCAGCAUGUACACUAAAAUUUAAAUGAUACAGAGAUGUUUAGUAUGGCCUCUGCCCAAGGAUGACAAGCAUAUUUGUGACUUAACUGAAGGAACG